GAUGAAGAACGUAGCGAAAUGCGAUAAGUAAUGUGAAUUGCAGAAUUCAGUGAAUCAUUGAAUCUUUGAACGCACAUUGCGCCCGCCAGUAUUCUGGCGGGCAUGCCUGUCCGAGCGUCAUUUCAACCAUCAAGCCCCGGGCUUGUGUUGGGGACCUGCGUCCGACGCAGGCCCUGAAAACCAGUGGCGGGCUCGCUGUCCACACCGAGCGUAGUAACUAACCUCGCUAUGGAGUGGCGCGGGCGCCUGCCGUAAAACCCCCAAUUUCACAAGGUUGACCUCGGAUCAGGUAGGAAUACCCGCUGAACUUAAGCAUAUCAAUAAGCGGAGGA
rnacentral:misc_RNA from 1 species